rnacentral:lncRNA from 1 species
AUGUGACCUUCAGCUUAUUUUCAAAAAUGCCUAUGCCAUGGAAGAGAAAACCUGGGGUGACAAGAGGAAAGGAUCAGAGCAAAGCAGAGCUGCUGGAAACACAUAUACAGUUGGAAGUUGUGGGUCCUCCAAGAACACACGAUGCAGGAUCUAUAUUUCAGAAGGAAUGAAGGGAAGAUGAAGGUUUCAGGGUUCCUGGCAUCCUAUGUUGCAGCUGUCAGUUGAGGUUCAGGCUGGAUAUCAGGAAAAGAAGCACCAUCAGCUGCAUAGUGAGAAAGAAAAAGGGGGAUGAUAAUUACCCUCUUGCACAGCCCAUCAAGAUCAGAGAGAUGAUCUGCCGAAGACCUUGAUAGCUUCAUCAUAUGUUUUUCUCUCUUUUUAUUGUCAUAAUGAAGGAUUCAAAUGGUAACAUCAACUCUGAGCACAGAUAGGCACUAGCAUUAUCUGAUUCAGCAUUUAUCUAUGAUACUUUGGUUUUACACUAAUAGUUGACAGGCUGAAGCUCAGUGAAGCCAUAAUCCUAAAAGUAAAAACAAUGAAAUAAUCAGCUGAUAGAAAUAGCAAUAGGACCUAUUUUAAGAGGAUGCAUAUGUGUAUAUAAAUAAAGAAAUAUUAAAUCAAAAUUUGCCUGUCAUAAAGUCAUUGUAUCAAAAUAACAGGAAUGAUUUAGAUUUCUGAGGACAGUACUUCUUUCAAUCCACAGUUUAAAUAAAGGCACGCAGAAUUACUGAAGCUUUAGCUGCCCUUUGUUCUCAAGGAAAAAAAAAAAAAAAAAAAAAAAAAAAGACCAUAUGAAAAAAACAAUGAGAUAAAAUGGUGUCCGAAAGAAGAAUUAUUUAGCUGAUGGUGUAUCUUAAUACAUUGAGUCAGUCACUCUAACGACUGGACAGCAAUCCUGAGACAUCUGCGAUGAGUUCACCUAACACUGAAUUUUGAGGCCCUGUGAUUAUAAAGUAGCUAUAUGAUCGUGUCCAUUCUCUGUUAGCUUUUGUUUGUAUGUUUCACUUGCUAAAAAAGUAUUUUUAGCUUACAAAACAGGCAUAAUAAGUGAAACUCAGAACUGUGACCCAGAAAGAUCAUAUUAAAUGGGAUUUUUCUCUGUCA